rnacentral:rRNA from 1 species
GACGAACGCUGGCGGCGUGCUUAACACAUGCAAGUCGAGCGGUAAGGCCUCUUCGGGGGUACACGAGCGGCGCACGGGUGAGUAACACGUGGGUGACCUGCCCUCAGCUCUGGGAUAAGCCUGGGAAACUGGGUCUAAUACCGGAUAUGACCUUUCCUCGCAUGGGGUUUGGUGGAAAGUUUUUUCGGCUGGGGAUGGGCCCGCGGCCUAUCAGCUUGUUGGUGGGGUGAUGGCCUACCAAGGCGACGACGGGUAGCCGGCCUGAGAGGGCGACCGGCCACACUGGGACUGAGACACGGCCCAGACUCCUACGGGAGGCAGCAGUGGGGAAUAUUGCGCAAUGGGCGGAAGCCUGACGCAGCGACGCCGCGUGGGGGAUGACGGCCUUCGGGUUGGAAACCUCUUUCGACCCCGACGAAUUUGGACGGUAGGGGUAGAAGAAGCACCGGCCAACUACGUG